GCAGACACAUUCCAGCCAAUCAGCAGCAGACCCUCCCUCCCAGACCCUCCCACCUCCUGGACAGCAUCCAUUUUACAUUCAUUGUGAAGCUGCAUUCUUAGUGAGCUGUCCAGGAAGUGGGAGGGUCUGGGAGGGAGGGUCUGCUGCUGAUUGGCUGGAAUGUGUCUG